CGAGGGUGUAGCACGUAUGCAAUGCAGGGCCGCAGGUGGGUUGGACGGUAGAAAAAAUGUUGUCAUAUAAAAGAAUGGAGCCAUCUUCCUGAUUUCAUUCAUUGAUGCAGAGCUGCCAGGAAACAACGACGGAGACUUAUUACAUAUUCUCAACCGAUCAAUUAGCCCUGCAUUUCAAUAUCGUUCGUAUUAAUAGCUCAAUACUCAAAAAUGGCAGUUUACUUCAAGUCCUGUGCAUUGCUUUUCUGCUUGAUUUUUGCCAUGUCAAUUGUGUUUGAAAACUUUGGAGGAGCAGAAGCGAAGCGAGUUCCAAACUACAUCAAACCCAGGAGAAAGUGCCCCAAAGGGGAAAGACGAGGCUUUGACGGGAUCUGCAGAACCUUUGAACAGCACCGCAGAAUGAAUCAACGAUUCAAGUACAUUUUGACCUCCUCAACAUAGUUCUCGUGUGAUGAAAGUAGAACAAAUACGUACUUUCCGGCAUCUCGUUCUGUACUUUUAGUACUGUGUAUUUAUCAAUAUGAUUUUCGCUUAUUUAUGGCAUAUUUCUGCCAUGUUUUGUAUUUUUUAUAUCGGAAUGUACUGGUGUGACAAAAUAUUUAGCAAUACAUAAUCACACCAUUUCUGUUUCCAAUGUUGGGACGUGCCAUAAUAAUUGCGGUGAAAAGUUACCCAUGUACUAAUUGAAUGAUGUAUGUAUGCAGUUGAAGGGAUGUAUUUUUUGGUUGUGAAAGCCCUCAAUGUUUUCUGAUACUGUAAAAUAUUUCACUUAAGAGUCAGUGACUGAAUAAUGGUAGUGAUUCAUAAUUGUUAUUUAUAGUUGCGUAAUUGAGGUUUUGUGGUAUUUUAUAUUUUUGUAAUUUCCAUGUUUUGAUUAGAUAUCAUAUUCGGAUGCAGCAAUAAAUCAUGCGAUUCCUUAAUUUUUUUAACUUGCUCAACAGUUUAAAACAACAAAAAUCGGAUGUGGCAAAGUUAACCAAUAUUUUAAAGCAUGUCACAAUUCUUCCUGCCUAGUACAAAUUGUCAUAUAAAAGCGUUUAAACUCACAAUUUCUUACUCCAUUGACGUUUCCGUUUUCCCUGGAGAGCUUUGAAUACUACAACCACACAUACAGCACAACGAACUUAGACCUCACACAAUGAUUUCUCCAGUUCGACUUAUAAUUUUAAUCUGCUGGGUCGUGUGCCUUCUCGGACUUUUUGGAGUUGGAAGCAUUGAGGGAAAGAGACAUUCCAAUAUUCAGGCAAGAUAUCGACAUCGCAACUGUCCCAGUGGUCACAUUAGAUCCCCGGAUGGGGUAUGCAGAAGAUGGGCAUAAUUUAUUACCGAAGUAUUUGAUGACUCAAUAAUUGUGAAAUAAUAAUUUUGCUUUCUGUAAUAAAUUGUCUGUACAAAGUA